CGAGGCCUCUACCCUAAGCCUCUAGGUUCGUUAACUUCUGUUGCAGCUCGGACAGACCGACGCUUUGCCCGCCAACAAUCUGCACAAGGAACAAGGCGAGCUGAUUUUUCAAGAUCAAGAUGGAGAGCUUCAACAUAAAUCAUUUGUUCAUCACAAAUAGUUGAAGAAAGAGAACUUCCAGAGGGAGAAGACAAUUAUAUUUCAGCUGAUAAUUCGGGAGCAGCUGAUCUGCGCGAGAUGAAUCAGGAAGUCCUCGGAGUUACCUCGGAUUCAAUGCGAUGAAUUCGCCUCCCGUUUACUUUAGUGGAGGAUUCGACGAUCACAAUGUUCUUGGGACGGGAUGACCAAGAAGAAGGAGGGCAUGUCGGCCAAUCAUUUGUGUCGGUACCACGUGAGUUGGGUGACUUCAAUUCGUUGAGUACAUCUCUCUUGUCACUCAGUUCCUGGAUCUUGCUUUGCAUAUCCUUUAUAUACUUCAUUGUUUCAU